UACGUAGGGUGCAAGCGUUAAUCGGAAUUACUGGGCGUAAAGCGUGCGCAGGCGGUUUUGUAAGACUGACGUGAAAUCCCCGGGCUCAACCUGGGAAUGGCGUUGGUGACUGCAAGGCUAGAGUUUGGCAGAGGGGGGUAGAAUUCCACGUGUAGCAGUGAAAUGCGUAGAGAUGUGGAGGAACACCGAUGGCGAAGGCAGCCCCCUGGGCCAACACUGACGCUCAGGCACGAAAGCGUGGGGAGCAAACAGG
rnacentral:rRNA from 1 species